AGAAUAACCCAAGGCACCAGAGACCACCAGUUUAAGACAGACCACAGAACAUAGCCACACUCUGGGAUAUCUCCCCUGGUUGCCAAGGUAGGCAGUGUCACAAAUAUCUGGAAAUGGACCAGAAAGUCUGAUGACUUGAAAGAGGACUCCCUGGGAUGUCCAUGGCGUCUGCUAGAUCAAUACCACAUCAAGCCUAUGAACAAAUUUUAGUAUUAGGACUCACAAAUAUAUGGAAUGUAACAAAUUUCCAGCAGAGAAAAUUUUGGAAGAACUUUAUAAAAGAUAUAAUGAAGACUAUCAGACCAUGGGGCUUCAUUUUCUCACUUUUUUCAGUUUCCUUCUUCUUCCAGAUGCUCACAUUGACCUCAGGUGAGGAAGAGAUGAUGUCAAUGGAUCCCCAGGUGGGAGAGAUUAUGAGGAACGUCAUUAGCUUCUGGAUGGUAUCACAAGUAUUUAGUACAUCUGUAUUCCCUCACUGAUGAAUAUAUUAAGAAACAUGCCUUUCUAUGGAAGAUAAAUGGAAUCCUGGCAGUGACAAGCUCACUGGAAGUGGGUGUUUGUAUUUGUUAUUUGUGGACAAGACACAGUUGCUCAGGGUUUAUUUUCAAGGAAGAAUGGAUGAACUGGUUUGUUUGGAGUGUCAUGAUGAUCUUCCUCAUACUCUUAGGAAUAAUAACUUUGAAAGGUGGAUAUGGGUAUACUUUCUUUUUUAUACUGAUAUUUUCACUGGAUUUCAACAACAUUGAGAGCAUCGUCUUUGUACUUCCUACGAUACGGAUAGUUCUUUCUUUUCUUUUGUCUGAAACAUAAUUUAAUAAGAAAACUGCAGUAAAAUUCUCUUCUUCAAACUCUAAAGGAGUUUCUGAUUUAAUUUCAAUAAUCAAUAGAAUAACAGCUAGAUUCCACAAUGGUUGUAUCAGUACCCAAAUAUUCU
rnacentral:lncRNA from 1 species